GGGGCGCGGGGGAAGCCACGGAGGGGCAGGAGCGCUGAACCGGAGCGGCUUUGUGCUUUAUCUGUCAUUUCGCUUCGAGAUGCCGCGGAAAAGUUGUUCCUACGGGCUCUAAAGCACGCGCAGAGUAUCCAAGUGUUUUCCCUCUGAGGAGCAUCACUUUUUCCUUUUUAUCCCUUUUUAUUUUAUUUUUAUUUAUUUUUAGCACCCGAGAAGUAAGUAUGGAUUAGACUAAUUAUCUACUUUUUUUUUUAAUUUUUAUUUCUUUUUUUCCGCCUUCGUUAACCACGUUACAGACCAGACCGCAUCGCACGACCAGGUUUAUUUGCACAGCUAAUACCUUUGGAAUGGAACAAAACAAUAAUUUUGGAACGGAUCGGUGGAAGUGUUUAGACUGCUGUAAAGGAAAAUAGGCAGCUAAUGGGAUUUUGAGUAAUGCCUUUGCUCAUUCAUUCUGUUUGUUUGUUUCUGGAAAAGUAACUGCUAAGCACUUCUGAAAUUUAUUAUAAUUGUGCGUGUUUACCUUUUUACUUAGAACAAAGGUCCUUUGAGCCAUGUUUCCCCAUAAUAUUGUACUGCUUUACUUACACUGCUUCAGAAAAGAGUUCGGAUAAUGCAGUGGCUGCACUUUUUUUGUCUUUUUUUACUGAAACAAGGAACUGUUGAAAUGAUUUGGUCCCACUGCUUGUGAUUGCCUCCCUUUGAGCAGCCGGUUUGUGGAAGCUGUGGGGUGGCAGGAAGUGCUGCCACAGGACACGGGCCUGGCCAUGAACAGAAAUCAUCAAGCGUGAUUCCUGACACAAAAUUCAGCAUGCAAUGGCAAAUAGAGUAACUCCUGUACGUGGGAGGGAAGACCCCAUCUUGAGGAGUUUCCAAUCUCAUCAUGAAGAAUUUCAGUAUAAAGAAAACUUGGUUGGAGUACUUUAGUGCCUUUUGUAAAUCAGAAGAGCAUUAACUAAAUUGCUCCUUGUAACAGAAUAAUUUUUAGAAUAAAGAAAUGACUUUUCAUUAGCUAUUUCUUAAAGAAAUACAGAAAAACAUAUUGUUUCAUUAAAAUUGGAGCAAAGACAUUUAUGUCAGGGGAAUGUCACAUUUUUUGUCAUCCUCCAGUCUCACUACCAAAACAAGAUGACUGGCUUAGUGCUUUGAGUCAGGUUGGCUGUCUCUAUCUAAUAAUAAUAAAAAAUACUAAUAUAAUUAAAUAUUCAUUUCAAAUGGUGAUAAAUAAGAUUUUCCAGGUUUCAUCAGUGACCUCCCUAUCUUUGAGGCAGCUUUCUUGUUUCUGCUUUUCUUAUUUUCUCCCUUUCCUCCUGAGCAGAGGAAAUGAGCCAGUGUCUGGGUGGAAGUUUGCCUGCCAGCAAGGGCCAAGCCACCACAAUAACCAUGUAUACUCAGCCCUGGAGAUCUGAUCAGAAACAUACUGUUAAAUCUUAGAUUUUCAUUGCAAAGACUGACCCUGCUGCCAUCAUUGUGUUUUAAUAGAGUAUUUUCAUUAGUUUGGUCAAACUCAAAACCAGACUUAAUUUUAAAGUGGGAAUUUUUGUGGAUAAGACUGUGAAGAAUAUGGUGUUUAUACCCACAGCAUACUGGCAGUGGAAUAGAACAACUCAUGACUGAUUUGGCAGUAAACACUGAUUUUUUCUUCACUAAGUCUGUACUAGAAAAAUUCAUAAGCUGGUGGCAUCUAUCUCUACAGUGGAAAAUAUUUACUCACUUUAUUGAUAAUUUAAUAUACUUUGUCAAAUUUUGUUGGUUGGUUUCUAUUGAUCCUGAGACAUGUGGGGUUCCUUUUGCUUCCUAAGUGAUUAAACUUGCAAACAUUAAAAUCAUAUUUUGGGAAGAGAGGUAUAUAUCACUUUGUCAUUCACUUCUGAAAAACAUAAUAAUGAUGAAUAUUUCAGAUAGAAAUGACAAUAUUUAACCUAAGAAUAUGAACAAAAAACAGUCAUAAAACAGUUAAUUUAAAUUCUCCUAAUUCAGAGGAUAACUAUUUUUAUAGCUUUGAUUUGAGUUGGGUUUUUUUUUUUUUGCAAAGUAAAUUGUAAGUACUUAUUUAUCCAGCUACCUCCACCUUUUCCACUGUCCUUAUUCCCAGUGAUCCCUACAGUGAUAAGUGGUCAAUGACCCUUGCAUGGGAUGAGCUACAGGAAUCUUACAGACCUGCCUGUUAUUCAUCACAGUGCUAGAACAACUGCAACAUCACAGUGAGGUUUUACUAAAAACUCACAUUUUCCCCAUUAGGUUAUAAUAAGGGCAGAAUAAAAUGCUUUCUUGAAAACCGACCAUGUCUUUUCUCCGCCUAAAAAAAUUGCUUCUGUUUGUUUUUUUCCUUAAUUUGGUAAAAGAAAAAAUAAAAAGGAAACUCACUGGAAAGGCCAAAACUACCAACUGGUAAUGCCACUGUGUGAAUGUCUCCAUUUACACUCAAACUUGCAUCAGAGACCUUAAACUAAAUUUAAUAUGUAGUUUAGAAGGUGAUGUCAACUGCUGAUUAUCUUCUCCUUGUUUUAUGUGUGGGUUUGGUAUUGCUUCAGAACAUGGCCAAUAAUAAAAUUAAUGUGUAAGAGU